ensembl:lncRNA
UGUGAGUCAGUGGGGAGAUUCAGGUAGAGACCAGACCAGACCAUGCCAGACCAUGUGACUCAGUGGGGAGAUUCAGGUAGAGACCAGACCAUGUGAGUCAGUGGGGAGAUUCAGGUAGAGACCAGACCAGACCAGACCAUGUGACUCAGUGGGGAGAUUCAGGUAGAGACCAGACCAGACCAUGUGACUCAGUGGGGAGAUUCAGGUAGAGACCAGACCAGACCAGACCAUGUGAGUCAGUGGGGAGAUUCAGGUAGAGAACAGACCAGACCAUGUGAGUCAGUGGGGAGAUUCAGGUAGAGACCAGACCAGACCAGACCAGACCAUGUGAGUCAGUGGGGAGAUUCAGGUAGAGACCAGACCAUGUGAGUCAGUGGGGAGAUUCAGGUAGAGACCAGACCAGACACCAGACACGACUUAAAGUGGAUUGUUUGUUAAAAGUCCCCCAGAUAGAACAGGGAGCAACAGCAACAUAUUCUCUAGAUAGAACAGGGAGAACUACCAAUACGUCUUCAGAAACAUGUCACAUGUCUUAA